UACGUAGGGUGCGAGCGUUGUCCGGAAUUACUGGGCGGAAAGAGCUCGUAGGUGGUUUGUCGCGUUGUUCGUGAAAUCUCACGGCUUAACUGUGAGCGUGCGGGCGAUACGGGCAGACUAGAGUACUGCAGGGGAGACUGGAAUUCCUGGUGUAGCGGUGGAAUGCGCAGAUAUCAGGAGGAACACCGGUGGCGAAGGCGGGUCUCUGGGCAGUAACUGGCGCUGAGGAGCGAAAGCGUGGGGAGCGAACAGG
rnacentral:rRNA from 1 species